CAGGACUGCAGCGACCCUGCCUAAGAACCACCCUUCAGAGGGAAUCUGUAACCUCAGACACAUCCAAGCCGAGAACCAUGGGGAGCCUGGGGCUCAGCGGGCUGUAACCCUAAACAUCCAGGCUCCAACCCUGCCAUGGUCCCAGAGACACUUCUCUCUUGCCCACUCUUCUCAAAAGCAAAGAUUCCUGAACCCACCUGUAGGAGGCGUGUGGGCUGAGCUUUGGCCCCCACGAGAGAGAAACUCUGCUCCUGAGUUGGGGGGCAGAACUGAGCAGCAGAAACUUCAAGGUGAAAGAAAAGAAGUCAGAGCUUCUGGUUGUUAAUCCUGGCUGUCCACUAGAGUCACCCGGGAAGCCUGUAAAGCCCAACAAUGAAGCCACACCUGACACCAGCGCAGUGAAGCUCUUUGGAAGCAGAUGCGGCCCAGGGUCCCGAGGCUUUAAAGCCCCCCUGUGAUUGCACUCUGUGGCCAGUUGGGGGAGCUCUUGCAGGGAGUCGGCGGAAGGCUUGGAAUGCUCGCUCAUCCCAAACGCUUCCUGCAAGUA
ensembl:lncRNA